UGGGGAAUCUUGCACAAUGGGGGAAACCCUGAUGCAGCGACGCCGCGUGAGCGAUGAAGGUUUUCGAAUCGUAAAGCUCUGUCCUAUGGGAAGAUAAUGACGGUACCAUGGGAGGAAGCCCCGGCUAACUACGUGCCAGCAGCCGCGGUAAUACGUAGGGGGCGAGCGUUGUCCGGAAUUACUGGGCGUAAAGGGUUCGCAGGCGGCAUGGCAAGUCCGAUGUAAAAGGCGAAGGCUCAACCUUCGUAAGCAUCGGAAACUGUCAAGCUUGAGUGAAGGAGAGGCAAGUGGAAUUCCUAGUGUAGCGGUGGAAUGCGUAGAUAUUAGGAGGAAUACCGGUGGCGAAGGCGACUUGCUGGACUUCAACUGACGCUGAGGAACGAAAGCGUGGGUAGCAAACAGA
rnacentral:rRNA from 1 species